AGUGAACAAAACAAAUAUUGUGCAAGUAGCAGAGUAAGCAGAACAAAGGCUGAAAUAUCAUUAAUAACAUGGCAUAACUAAGAUAAACAGUAACUUGAUUACAGUUGCUACCACACUCCUUAGAGUGUAACACCCACUGCCUAAAGCAAAUAAAAUUAUAAAUGCAGCCUAAACUGGGCUUGAAGCGGAGUCACAUGUUCAGAUUCUUGUAACAAAUGACUGUUUCUGAACAGACUAUACUACUUAGUCUUCUCAACUGCAGUGCAGCACAGAACCCAAGGAAAGAAGCUAUCAGGACAAGGCAAGCAUGGGCCUCUUUCAAACCAAACAUGUUGGAGUACAUGUACAUGGAGGGGAAACUCUAAAGAUCCAUGAAGACUAUACAUCACAACUUGCAGAAAGGGCAAACUAUCCAAGGUGGAUGAUGUCUGGCCAAAUCUGCUGCUUAUGUGUGUGGUUAGUUACAUGUGCAAAGUGGAUCUGGGGCUUCAUCAAUCCAAAGAAGACACAAUUCCAUUUCAACUUACCCAACACUGGGAACCCGUCUCUGCUUUUUAUUUAUGAGGCCACCAGGAUUUUCGAUGAUAUAGAAAGCUCCUUGAGAAGAUAUCAAGGUCCGCAUGUUGCUAUUGUUAUAUUUAAGAAAUUAAAACCAAAUGAAACUGCAUACGCCUGUGAUCAGUUACUCAAACAAAAUAAUCUGGAAUCAAGAACACAUUCGCCAGUAGUUGGAUGCUACUGGUCUGAAGUGAACGGUGAGCGAAAGAUGUGCCAAUGCAGAGAAAACGAGGACUCAAAGAAGACGGUUAUUGAUUUACUCUCCAAAAUACCAUGGGAGAGGAGCUCUAUUUGUAAUUCAAACUAUCGGCCACUGUAGCAGAUGACCUUUGUGACGAUGAACCUUCAAGUGCUUAAAAUGGGAUACAUCCUGGAUGGAUUCAGGGAAUAUUCUGUACCUUUUCAAUGGAAUUUGAUCUAGACUGUUUAGAAGCUGCUCCCACAUUGUUUUAUCCUCGUAUACAAUAUCUCUGCUUGUUACUUGUGCACUUAUGCUUUGUUUUAUAUUGUCUUUUUAAAUAAUAUAGUGGGAUCAAUGUAUUUUAUAGUGAAGAUAUAAAAGAAAUUGAUAAAUAUUUAUGUUCUGAAUACACAUGAUCUAAAAAAUAUGUUCCUUAGAUUUUCAUUCCUAAGCAUACCUUACUCCAAAGCAUCUCAAAGAGCAUCCAAGCAAAGACACAAUGAUUUAAUCAGGUCUUAAAUACAGAUAAUACAAAUACUAUUUACAAUUCUAUUCAGAGGCACAGUGUUGGAAAGAUUGGGAGAAGCAGCAGUUUUGAAAAUUUAUUUACGCUUCACAGCUGUGUCUUGUAGUGAACAGGCAUCACUGGCUGUUCAAUAUUACUUUAACAGCUGUGAAUAAAUCAAAGCAAAUUCGAAAUAGAAUCAGUGAGUUAUAAAACUGCCAUUGAGAGUUUUAUUAUUAACAGCAAAAAAAAAAAAAAUGAUCCUGAUUUAGCCCAAUCAUAAUGAAGUUGUAUUGAAAUACAGAUAAAUCAACAGUCACUUGCAUAAGGACCACACAGUAGAUCAGCUAAUGCCCAUCAAAGGUAUGACAAGCAAAGGAGUUGGCAAGGGGAGGUCUCUCUGGCAGGCUGCAGGGUAUGAGUCAGCUGAUCCUCCUUGCUGCACCUGGGGCUUAGUGAUUCAUCAAGCUGGGUACGGGUAGGAACAGAUGAAGGACCUCUUCAUUGAGCAGUCCGCAAGGCUCCACCACUUCAGGUCUGUGAGAGAGAGGUUGUGAAACACUUCUUUGUGGUAAACAACGUGUACAACUUCUAGCAGGUAACAAGUGAUGAAUUCUUAUAAUUAUUAUUAGUAAUAUUAGUAUUAUACAGAACAGGGGGUUAUCUAUUAAACCAACACUUAUUAAUUAACUGUGCAUGGAAUUGCAUUUCUGUAGUGUACUUUGCUUGUACAAAAUAAACACCAUGUGCAGCAUGUAAAUCAAAAAUACUGUGAAACUAAUGCUGCAGUUCUAUGGCAUUGCUCACCCAUCAUGAACAUUCGCAGGCAGUAUUGCUCAUCAUCCCUCCGGUCAUGGUUGCACUUUCCAGGCAUCCAGUAGCUGUAUCCCUAAUUGGACCCAUCAGUCCAUAUGUAUUGUCCAGUCUAAGAGGGACACAGGGACAGAAUGGACUGGACACGAAGCAUACCAGCCAUAGAUACCUAUCCUGCACUCCCUUAAAUCUGAAACUC